rnacentral:rRNA from 1 species
CCUACGGGAGGCAGCAGUAAGGAAUAUUGGUCAAUGGAGGCAACUCUGAACCAGCCAUGCCGCGUGCAGGAUGAAGGCCCUAUGGGUCGUAAACUGCUUUUGUACCAGAGAAAACCCGAGUACGUGUACUCGGUUGAUAGUAUGGUAAGAAUAAGCAUCGGCUAACUUCGUGCCAGCAGCCGCGGUAAGACGAAGGAUGCAAGCGUUAUCCGGAUUCAUUGGGUUUAAAGGGUGCGUAGGCGGACUGAUAAGUCAGUGGUGAAAUCUCUCGGCUUAACCCGAGAAC